rnacentral:ncRNA from 12 species
UACCCCUUGGUAAAGAUGGUGCCGUUAGGGAUGGGGUUAGUACUCCCGAAAGGGCGAAGGAAAGCUCCAUAGGCAGCAAGGAG